rnacentral:rRNA from 1 species
UACGGUGAAUACGUUCCCGGACCUUGCACACACCGCCCGUCAAGCCAUGGAAGCCGGGUGUACGUAAAGUCGGUAACCGUAAGGAGCCGCCUAGGGUAAAACUGGUGACUGGGGCU